rnacentral:sRNA from 1 species
GCUCUGUUCUUGUGUUUUUUUUUCUUCUCUGAGACAAGUCCGAAUCUUUAAAAUGGGAAGACCUUUUUACGCCAAAACUCCAUUUCAAAACUGGUCGGUUCCAGCCCUCUUAGCUCAAAUUUUCGCCGCAGCCAAACAGAAAAUUAGCACAGCCAGAGUUUCCACUCUUCGGGUUAAUAUAUUGAAUAUGCCUUAAUCUUCCAUUUUGCGCCUUCGUGAUUUCUUAAAUUUAAUGUUGGAUGCGUUUUUUUUUUCUGUUGUUGUUUGUUGAUUGAUUCCAAUCUUUACUUUGUGUAAACUUCUUGUUCACUACUAUUUUGGAACUUUGUUGAAUGUAGAGAAGGAUUUCUUUGAGCAAUUAUUCACUAUUAUGUUUUCACCGCAUUUGAUCAUAAUACUUUUACGAAAGAAGUAAGUUUCAAGUUUGUUAUUAUAUAUUCCCUUGAUUUCAAAUUGGACCAUCACCAGGAGACAAAAAUAUGAAUUGAUUAUACGUUGUAAUGUGUGAAUAUAGGAAUUCUACUUGAUUAUGUUGGAGAAAUCUGUUUAAAUUUAGUAAUAAUAUAUUUGGUUAUUUCCUUUAUUUUUCUCUUACUAACUGUAGAUUUUGUUAAAUGUCAAAACAAGUUAUUCGUGUAUAUUCUGGAAUAUUUCUUGUUUCUGUCAAUUUAAACCUUCAGCACAUUGGGUUUAAUAUUGUGCAACUGGCAGUCAUAACAUCCUGCUGCUAACUGACCCUUCUGUACUGUACAGUGAGGAAAUGCACAGGCCGAUACGUAAAACUAAUAUUCUACAUUAUGAUAGUAAUUCCAAUGGUUCUGGUAUACGGAACUUUCAUUAUGCAAAUUGUGAAAAUUUUUCUGCCCGUGCUUUAUUCCUUACUAGGAGCAACUUGUCCAUAUGAUUUUUCCAAUUUUUUUUUCAUCUUGCCAUAUGGUAUAGGGCCAUGGGCCAAACUCAAUGACAGGAUAUAUCGUUUUAUGUUUUUAUGCCAUGACAAAUUGAUGAGCUGGUGAAACAAUUUAGUGGCUGAAAAAUAAUGCGUGGUCAUGAUUUUUUGCCAGCUAACAUUCUACUUUACAUUACAUGCGAAAGAUGUUUUGCACUUGGUUCUAUUGUUAGUUUUAAUCGUAUUAAUUUUCUCUUUCAGUCUCUUUGAAGACAGAUAAAUUUCAGCCUGCAUAAAACUCUAUUCACUGUAUUUGCUUAGCUAUCUAAUUAUUUUACACCAUGUUAGCACCCUCUUAGUAUACAAAUGAGAGCCACCUUAAGAAGCAAAUUAAACUGGCGUCAGGCUAUUAUUAUCAGUUUGUCUUAAAGCAUAUCAUUGGUAUUCAUUCUUUAUCUAUGAAGCUAUUGGUUAUGCAUUGUAUGUGCAUUUGUGGUGUGACUAAGUGCUAAUGUAUCUAGUAUGAAGCUCAAACAUAGUAUUCCUUGCAUUAGAAUAUAAUUAAUAUAAUUAUUCUUCUUUUGGUAAAUAUGAAUAUAAUUAUUCAUAUAAAGAAAGAGAUACACUUAGAUUAUUUGAGCAAUGGGUAAGAGUGAAUGCACUGCUAGAUUUCCCUUGGUUUUGUAAGAGCCAAUGCAUUGUUAGCACUUUACUUUUCUGUUAUUUAACCUCGAAUAUGUCACCAACAUUCAGUAUAAAAUGUCCAUUGAGUAGCACAUUACCUUUCAGUCUCGAUGUGCAGCUCUCAUUUAGUAGUAGUAUUUAAAUGUGCUUCAUAUUCUCAAGCCAUUAUCAAGCGUCAAGGUUUCUUCAAUUCUGAUAUUGUUCUCUGCUGAUGUAUGUUCACUUAGCGUUCAUAUUUGAAUCUCUUUGUUUCUCCUGUUAGUUUUUUAGUAGUUUUAUACAUGUUCUAUUUUGUUUGAAAAAAUUUUAGUUCUGAACAGUAGUUUCUUAGUUUUAGGUCAGGCUCAUCUUGAUAUAAACACAGAGAGAAAGUAUAAGUUAGAUGAGGUAAUGGGUGAUUUAAAUUUCAAAUCAUUUCUUCUGGUUACAUAUGAUACAGUCUGAUGCUUUUGAUAUUUCUAAUUUAAUUUUUUUUCUAUCUUCUUUAUUGUUUUAUUAAUAUUCUUUUUCUUAGACAUUGAUAUAAACACUGAAGUGCCUACCUUAGAAUUUUUAUGUUCUCUUUCUUUCAGAAUCACCCUAUGAACCGUGACCCAUUUCAUAUAAGGCUGCUGAAUUUGGAUAAACACCUUACAUCUCCCACCCCAGCAAUUGUGCUUAUGUACCCAGGAAAUGUCAAUUAUGAUUAUCUGGCGGGACAAAGGAGAAGAUGAGGAGGAAGAGGAAGAUGACACGGACAAAGAUGCUAAUGAGUAUUGAUCAAAUCAGUUAUCUACCAACAUAGUUUUGCUUGAGUAAAGGCUUGGCACAGCCAUAAAUUUGGCUUAGGUGAGAAGGAAAAUCAACAGGGCUUCAGAGAUUGUGGUGGGGGUACAAAGUAUGAAAUGAUGCCGGAAUGGGGUUAAGCUUUGCUGCCCAUUGAUUUAUCAAACCAAUUCUACAACAACAUCAAUAAGCAUGGGAUUGAAAUGACUAUCUUCUACCUGCAUGCUACAUGAGAAACUCAACAAUAUUAACACCGUAAUCCCUGAUGUUCCUGGAAGGUUGCCCCAUAAUUCACAACUUUGACAAUUGGUUGAUUCCUUCAAUUUCUUCUUAUGGAUAUGAACCUUGUGCUGAUAUUGACAUCACAUCCAUUGGCAGAGUUUAUGCUGGUUGGUGAUGAAAGUAGAUUCUGUCUUGAUGCGACUGGGGUUGGAAAUUUCAAUUUAUUUUAGCAGAACAAAGAAGGAAUGAAUGGAUCAUAUGGAGUUUCAAGAUUUCAUAUCAAUUUGAGUCAAUAUGUCCUGGAUACACAUGUAUAGGCUUGGAAAACUACAAAGUAAAUGCAGCGGUACAUAGCAACUGUAAGAAGGCUUGCAAUAAUCAUCAUUACAUUUGGUGAAAGAACAUAGCUCAGUGUCAUAGUUUCUAAUGGGAUAUAAUCAGGAGAAUUGUUGAAUUUGAUGAGGAUCGUUACUUGAUCCUGUUUACAUUUCUCCAAAGCCAGUGACUAUUGAAAUUUAUAUGGAGGUUCAAGGACAGAUAAUACUGCUAUAACUUGUAGGUUGUCCUUACAAUACUAUCAAGAACUUUUCUUUGUAAUUAGCAUGCAAGAGACAAUGGAGGACAAGCACCAUCCUCAAUGAUUAUAGGAGAAACCUGUGGUGCCGAAAUACGGUGUGAAUUUGAGUUCAAGAGCAGCAAUGCUACCUGUGGUACCAAAAAGAAAGCAAUGCCUGACUAAAGAAAUGAAACCAAUAAAGAGAAUCUGGGAAAAAGUUUGAUCAAAUUAAAUGUCACAAGAUUCAACAUGGGCAACUAAAUUGAAGUCAGAGAGGAUGAUGACAAAGUUGAGGAUGACAAACAGGAAAAGAAGAAAAGGAUUCUGAAGAGGUUGAAAAGGAGAAAAUGCAAGGAUAUUUAAAAAACAAAAAAAAACUGAAAUGAGAAAAUUCCUCAGUUAUAUGUAGAAUCAACAAAAUAAUGUUCUAAUGGUUACGUCAGAUGGGGCAAGGGGUAAAGAAUUAGUUUAUAAAACGUCUUGGGGCAGCUUUUAACGGAUUUUGAAGAUCCAGUUUGUGUGGGUGGUUUUGCUGAUCAAAAUAGUGGACUGGAAUAGGUUUUGAUGAGAAUAUGCAUGAACUUUGAGAUGCGAGAAAAUGUUCUGAAUGGACUGAUGCUGUGAGGUUUUUCAGGCUGUUUUAGGCAUCACUUCGUGUGAAAGGGAGGAUUCUUUUAUUGAAAGACGCCUGGUGUUUUGUGCAUGAUGUUGAAGACAUUGUGGUUGCUGAAAUCUGAUUGUGGGUAUAUCACCAUGGACAGCUAAUUCUCUCAAGGAUAAGAUCAACAGGGAAAGAGCAGUUGAGAGAAAACCUAAAGGAUUAUUGUAAAAGCUUGCAGAGAUUACAGACUGUGAAGCAGAGAUACUAUAAUGAAAACAGGCAUUACAUUACUCAAUGGGUGUGGAUGUAGCACCAAACUGCUGAUGUUAAGAGUAGUCAUUAUGUGCCACACCAACAGAAACCUAUCGAAUGCAAUUGGUGCAGAAAGCAAAGCUGAUCAAGUUUAUCAUUCAAUUCUCAACUGCCUGAAGGGUUUCAAGCUUGAUGCAAUAAGCAGGUUCUCAUGAUGUUUUCUAUUCAGAUCAACAUGAUGGAGCAAGUUUCUUUGACUUUUAUGUUAGAAAGUAUCAUUACCAUGUUCUUUUGUGGUCUCCCACAAUCAA